rnacentral:rRNA from 1 species
AGAGUUUGAUCAUGGCUCAGGAUGAACGCUGGCGGCGUGCCUAACACAUGCAAGUCGAACGGGUGUGGUAUCAGGGAAAAGGGGUUUACUUCUUUGACCAGAUAACACACUAGUGGCGGACGGGUGAGUAACGCGUGGAUAACCUGCCUUAUACAGGGGGAUAACAGGGAGAAAUUCUUGCUAAUACCCCAUAGGUAUGUCUGACGCAUGUUGGACAUAUUAAAGCUUUGGCGGUAUAAGAUGGGUCCGCGUCUGAUUAGCUAGUUGGUGGGGUAAAGGCCCACCAAGGCGACGAUCAGUAGCCGGCUUGAGAGAGUGGACGGCCACAUUGGGACUGAGACACGGCCCAAACUCCUACGGGAGGCAGCAGUGGGGAAUAUUGCACAAUGGGGGAAACCCUGAUGCAGCGACGCCGCGUGAAGGAAGAAGGUCUUCGGAUCGUAAACUUCUAUCAGCAGGGAAGAAGGAAGUGACAGUACCUGAGUAAGAAGCCCCGGCUAACUACGUGCCAGCAGCCGCGGUAAUACGUAGGGGGCGAGCGUUAUCCGGAAUUACUGGGUGUAAAGGGUGCGUAGGCGGUAUGGCAAGUCAGUUGUGAAACCCCCUGGCUCAACCAGGGGCUUGCAAUUGAAACUGUCAUACUAGAGUGCAGGAGAGGAAAGCGGAAUUCCUAGUGUAGCGGUGAAAUGCGUAAAUAUUAAGAAGAACACCAGUGGCGAAGGCGGC